rfam:Vigna angularis cultivar Jingnong 6 scaffold182_152, whole genome shotgun sequence.
AAAGAUGUGAUGAGCCUUUCCCCAUAUGAUCGAAGUUGAUUCUAACUGUGCUAUUCUCAUAAUUUAGUCUCAUUUAUUGAGUAUCGAAUUUCCAAGCCAGAACUCUGAUCUUU